rnacentral:rRNA from 1 species
GGUGAACGCUGGCGGCGUGCCUAAUACAUGCAAGUCGAGCGAACAGAUGAGGAGCUUGCUCCUCUGACGUUAGCGGCGGACGGGUGAGUAACACGUGGAUAACCUACCUAUAAGACUGGGAUAACUUCGGGAAACCGGAGCUAAUACCGGAUAAUAUAUUGAACCGCAUGGUUCAAUAGUGAAAGACGGUUUUGCUGUCACUUAUAGAUGGAUCCGCGCCGCAUUAGCUAGUUGGUAAGGUAACGGCUUACCAAGGCAACGAUGCGUAGCCGACCUGAGAGGGUGAUCGGCAACACUGGAACUGAGACAGGGUCCAGACUCCUACGGGAGGAAGCAGUAGGGAAUCUUCCGCAAUGGGCGAAAGCCUGACGGAGCAACGCCGCGGGAGUGAUGAAGGUCUUCGGAUCGUAAAACUCUGUUAUUAGGGAAGAACAAAUGUGAAAGUAACUAUGCCCGUCUUGACGGUACCUAAUCAGAAAGCCACGGCUAACUACGG